CCUACGGGAGGCAGCAGUGAGGAAUAUUGGUCAAUGGGCGGGAGCCUGAACCAGCCAAGCCGCGUGAGGGAAGAAGGUACAGCGUAUCGUAAACCGCUUUUGUCCGGGGACAACAGCGGGGACUAGUCCCCGGAUGCAGGUACCGUGAGAAUAAGCAUCGGCUAACUCCGUGCCAGCAGCCGCGGUAAUACGGAGGAUGCGAGCGUUAUCCGGAUUUAUUGGGUUUAAAGGGAGCGCAGGCGGCCUGUUAAGUCAGCGGUAAAAGCCCGGGGCUCAACCCCGCCGAGCCGUUGAAACUGGCGGGCUGGAGUUGGAGACAGGUAGGCGGAAUGCGUGGUGUAGCGGUGAAAUGCUUAGAUAUCGCGCAGAACCCCGAUUGCGAAGGCAGCGUACCGGCUCCACACUGACGCUGAGGCACGAAAGUGUGGGUAUCGAACAGGAUUAAAUACCCUAGUAGUC
rnacentral:rRNA from 1 species